AAUUACCAUUGUAUCCCCGUCCCUUCAAAUUCUCCAAACUUAAUCCCAUCAGUUUCAUCGAUCCUUCGCCAUCAUUUCUCCUUCGAAGCCUUGCGUUACUCAUUUCUUUCUGUUUCUCUGUUUGUCAUCUAUGGCUUCGGUCUUGUGAUUUGCCACCUCAUUCUUUAACUGCCCAUCUACUCUGUCUUGAGACUCUGGGAUCGUGGGACUUUGAAUUUCGGCUGUUCCAGCGAUUGGUUUCGGCGUUCCUGCAGGAUCUCGGACUUCCCUAUUCCCUGACCAGGUUUUGGAUUUUAGUUCUCUGUUAAUCAUCUGAACUUGGGGCACGGAUUAUGUUCCUGUAAAGUUUUCUGAACAACUUAAAGGUUUCAUGGAGUCUGAUAGUUUAUGAAAAAGUUGGAUUUUUCUUCAUUAUGGAGAACCUUCCUGUUGAAGUCAUUGGCAACAUACUAUCACGGCUAGGAGCUGCACGAGAUGUAGUAAUUGCCUCUGCAACUUGUCGCAAGUGGAGAGAAGCCUGCCGGAAUCACCUCCAUGCACUUUCAUUCAACUCCAAUGACUGGCCUGUAUACCGUGAUCUCACGACUAGGCGACUGGAGAUCCUUAUAACCCAAACAAUAUUCCAGACGACUGGUUUGCAGUGCUUAUCUAUUUUUAUGGAUGAUGUGGAUGAGUUCUCAGCUGCUCCAGUGAUUGCCUGGCUUAUGUAUACUAGGGAAACCUUGCGCCAUCUACUAUAUAAUGUUCGCACUACCCCAAACGUUAACAUUCUUGAAAAAUGUGGUAGGCAGAAGCUGGAAGUAUUGGUCUUGGCUCAUAAUUCUAUCACAGGGGUUGAACCAAGUUACCAGAGAUUCCCUUGCCUAAAAUCCCUUUCUCUGAGUUAUGUCAGUAUCUCAGCUUUGGAUCUGAGUCUUCUGCUCACUGCCUGCCCAAUGAUUGAGGUGUUGGUUCUUAUUAGUCCAGAAAUUGCCAUGUCAGAUGCACAGACAACAAUGGAACUGAGCAGCCCAACAUUGAAGAACAUUUAUAUUGAAGCAAUCAGCUUGGACAAGUUUAUAUUAGAAGCAGAUUGUCUUGAUACUUUGCAUUUAAAAGAUUGCAUCCUUGAACUUUUUGAGCUUAUUGGCAAGGGGACUUUGAAACAGCUAAAGAUUGAUGAUGUUAGUGUCAUUCAUCUUGAUAUUGGUGAGAAUACUGAGAACCUUGAAGUGGUGGAUGUCAGCAACUUCACAAUCAUGUGGCCAAAGUUUUACCUAAUGGUCUCAAGAUCAUCAAAGUUGAGAAAGCUUCGGCUUUGGGGUGUGGUUUUUGAUGAUGAUGAUGAGAUUAUGGAUUUAGAAACAAUUGCUCUUUGCUUUCCUCAACUUAGCCAUCUUUGUUUAAGUUAUGAUUUAAGAGAUGGAGUGCUUCACUAUCGCUUGCCGGGAUCAUCUCAAUUGGAGAAUGUUGUUGUAUUGGAGCUUGGUUGGACUGUUAUUAAUGAUCUCUUCUCUCACUGGGUUGCAGGACUGCUUGAAAGAUGCCCUAAUCUAAAAAAGUUGGUCAUCCAUGGGGUUGUUUCAGAGGUCAAAACCCAUGAAGAAUGCAAUAUGUUGGCUAACUUUACAUCUUCCAUUGUUCGGCUUAUGAGGAAAUAUGUUAAUGUAGAGGUGAAAUUUGAAUAUGAAUAAUUAAAGUGCCUUUGUUGGCAUUCAAGUUUUGGUUUAGCACGUGUUGUACAAGCUGUAGACCCUACUUUGUGUAGUGUGAGCAUCCUUUUCUGUCCUAUAUCUGAAUUCAGUAACUUCCACUUUAUCAGGAGCUUACUGGACUUCAGAAAGUCCUUGAAAUCAAUCGUGAGUUUACAAGAGAGUCCAAACAAAGGGAGGAAAUAAUUCCACAUUCAUUAUGUAGGAGAAAGAGAGGAGGUGAUUAACACUAUUCACUCUUCGAGCAUAGGAUGCACGGUGUCCACAUGAGAGGAGAGGCACCAAGUUUUCUAUCUCCACUGGAGCAUCUCAUCAGUGUUGAUCAUCUUGAUAUCUUUAAAAUGGAUACCCAUCAAAAUGUUUUGAUUUUUGAAUGAGUAGAACCAUCCCAAAGAGUCUCAAGUCUUGACUGGGAAAGGAAGGUAGAUGAGGAAUCAGCAAGGUUAUUGAAAGAGGAACAGUAAAAUAUGCCUUAAGGUUCCAAAAUCCAAUUUCUAGUGCCAAGUCCAAUAUGGAGAAGAAAUAUUCCAUUCAGAGAGUUCAUAUGAGAUGUAACCUCUUCAUUUUCAUGAUCUUUAAGACUCCUUUUGAACCCAAAAUUUCAUGUCAAACCAGAAGGCAAGUUACAGACUAACUCAGAAAUGGGUUAAUGUUUGUACAAAGAAAUACUGUGGUGCCUAUAAAGAGUUGGAAAUAAAGCACAGUCUUGUUAUUACUGGGUACACAAUAGCACUCUAUAUCCAUGUGCCCAAACAGGGAAUCCAUCCGUUAGCAACGCCAUGGAGUAUACAUUGGCAUCAAAUAGUAGCAAGUCAUUAUCCACCUGUGACUACACAGGACUUGUGCCAGGGAAUGAAGCUCCAUCAUUUGGCGUGCCCCACCUAGAAGAUCUCUCAGUCUGAAAUUUAUGCAAUUGAAUCAUUUCAUGGCGAGUCAAAAGAAAGUGACUUAGUCCAGUGGUAUGGUUUCCGACAUCAUUGGGUUGGGUGCCAUGAGGUUGGGUCUUAUCUUUGAGAUUCUUGCGCUGGAUGGCUCAAUCAAAUGGUAGGUCCUGACUCUGUACUAGAGAAAUGCAGGAUCUCUGGAGCCUUUCAAGUUUCAACAUCUUCCCAUUUGUCGUCUUAUUCUCUGUGUACAAAGCAGUCAGUCCUCUGGUAAUGUUGGGAAUUGUUAUGGGGUUCUUCUCAAAGAAACGGGAGAGGAGCCAUGGUAGAAUUACAGAGAAGCUACAUAAAUAAAACUUUCUGACAUGGAUGGUUUGUAUAGGUUCUUGCUAAGAAUCUUAAUAAACUAAUCUAUCACCAAACUCGUAUAUAAGAAUCAAAUUUCAGAACUCUGCACCAUACAUACAAUUCUUUGACUUUCUAAA